AUUGUGCACUUAGGUCUGGGGGUGGGAGGAGGGGUCAGGGUCCGAAGACUGCCUGAAGUCUGCAUGGACCAUGCUGAAUUCAGACUUGGGCCUGCAAACUCAUCAUGUGUCCUUGCUAUCAAAGGAACGAACCAGAGGCAAGGAAUUCUAUCACUCAAAUAUGUUCUCACUUACUCGUCCCUUCCAAAGGAAGAAAAUAAAUACAGAUUUUUCUGGAGUAUAAUGGGUAUGUUCAGAGACCAAGCUUCACGUUUUACUGAAUCCCUGGCUCACUCAGUUUGAGGGUCAUCUCUCCUAAAGACAAAAUACCACUUUUUGAUGCAGUUGUUGCUGUUGGGAUCCUGGAAGAAGCAGAGAUUUUGGAAGACCCUCUCUGCCACCUUCUAAGCUACUUUUCAUAUCUAUUCAGUAACACCCACCUCAUGGGAUUGUGAUGAGUCUUGUAAGGAACAAGAUCUAGUGACAGGUCUCAUAGCUACCAUCCUGUCAAAGAUGUAUCGAGCAUACAGGAUGCUGUGAUGUAUCUGUGACAUAUUUAACGUGAUAGAAUUGUAUCCAACUCCUAGCGACAAAUCCCUGCUUACCUGCAAAGAAGUCCUAUGGCCAUGAAAAAUCACCAAAGGUUAAACGCACUGGACCUCUCAAUCCUCAAAGCCCCAUCCAGCUCUGAAGAACCAGGAUCUAUUCUGGUCUCCUUAACCCACACUCAACCCAACAUUCCAUUCCUCAAAUGUCCUAGUGAAUCCAGCGAUCAAAAUAAAUCCUGCUUGCAAGAUCUAAUAACGUGCAACUAACCCAACAAAUCAACCAGAGUUUAUUUAGCACUCCUCAUGCUUUCUGAAUUAAAGAAACAGAAACGUGAGCAUGCUAGACAUUCACUGAUAAGGAAAUGUUACGCAGUGGGAAGGAAGAUGGACACUGGACCCCAAAAGUCCGUGCUGUAACAGCACUGUGUGUCGCUGGGCAUUUACCAUCUGACAAGGCAAGACAUUUGUCAUCUCUGAGUUUCCUCAUCUUUAACAGAAGGGAUUAAUCAUAUCAAACGCUUUGUGAGUACAAGU